UUUAUUUAAACAAAGCAUCGCGAAGGCCCGCGGCGGGUGUUGACGCGAUGUGAUUUCUGCCCCAGUGCUCUGAAUGUCAAAGUGAAGAAAU
rnacentral:miRNA from 1 species